rnacentral:rRNA from 1 species
UACAGAGGUGGCAAGCGUUGUUCGGAAUUACUGGGCGUAAAGGGCGCGUAGGCGGUCUUGCAAGUCCUGUGUGAAAUCCCUCGGCUCAACUGAGGAACUGCACAGGAAACUGCUUGGCUUGAGUUCGGGAGAGGGAAGCGGAAUUCCGGGUGUAGCGGUGAAAUGCGUAGAUAUCCGGAGGAACACCGGUGGCGAAGGCGGCUUCCUGGACCGACACUGACGCUGAGGAGCGAAAGCGUGGGUAGCGAACAGG